AUUUUGUAGCAACUUAUAAAAAUUUAACCGAGGAAAUUCACAAGAGAAACAGCUUACGUAUAAAAUGGUUUCAGAAGUAUGAAUGGUUAUUAGAUGAACACAAAAAGAAUUAGAGAAAUUGUGCGAAGAAAAGCAAACGGUUAUUGCCACGGAAACGUUCGAGCGAAAAGAGGGAAAAACUUGUUUGCCAGCUCCGAUUACUACUAGUGGCGAGUACGGUUGGCUCGCAUCGAAA